GAGAGGUUCAACAUUCACCUCGAUAUGCCUGUGCUGUUGUCCUGCCAUGCCAUCAGGAUCCAAUUUUGAUCUAACAACUGCUUAACAUUUAGACAAAAUAGACAAGAUUUGAUAUGGCACCUGGGACAGUGCCCAUCACAGGGCCGAACUGUGGAUCUGGGUCCAGUUGACGCCUCACACACCACACACGUUCCCUCAGCCCAGCUCUCACACCUUCUCCUUCCCAGAUGAGCAGAUUCCCUAUGGAUGGCUCAGGAAUCUCCAGUCCUCGCACCCCCAGGCAGCUGCCUCCAUCACAGAGGCCUUGCACCUGUAGCUGUUCCUUCUGGACUCAUAGAGAUACCGCCUGCAGCCAAAAGAGCUUUUCCCUGCUCUGUGAGGUUUUUGAGGAGACAGCAGUCCGUGAUUCGCAGCAGAGUUCAUCACUGGGAUUUGCUCUGGAAAAAAGUCUGGAGAGGGUUUGGAGGAAGCUGACCCAGCAGCCACUCCCAGCACCAACCACUGACCAAGAGAUGCCUCUAUGAAGCCUAAUUCCUCACCUGGAGGAGAAGGGUGAGAACUCCCAUAUGACCAGCCCUGCACAGCACCAUGCGUUCUUCCACCCUUCCAGCUCAAAUAGGGUGACCUACAAAUACAC
ensembl:lncRNA